rnacentral:rRNA from 1 species
UACGUAGGGGGCGAGCGUUGUCCGGAUUUAUUGGGCGUAAAGAGCGUGUAGGCGGCCAGGUAGGUCUGCUGUGAAAACUCGAGGCUCAACCUCGAGACGUCGGCGGAAACCAUCUGGCUAGAGUCCGGAAGAGGAGAGUGGAAUUCCUGGUGUAGCGGUGAAAUGCGCAGAUAUCAGGAGGAACACCGGUGGCGAAGGCGGAUCUCUGGGCCUUACCUGACGCUGAGGCGCGAAAGCUAGGGGAGCAAACAGG